GAGAGCCGUGUGAUGGGCGACUAUCCCGUACGGUUCGGAGAGCACUUAAACAUUGUAAAAUUGAAUAAAUUGGAUAUGUUUGACGGAGCCAUAUGUAUUAUGAUUAAAGUUAGAUUUAUACCUAAGAUGAUGAAGCACUUGAU
rfam:Marchantia polymorpha subsp. polymorpha scaffold369, whole genome shotgun sequence.